GAGUCGCUAUCACCGCCAUGUUGCUCCGUCUUCUACCCGCUUGUACCGGUGACCGGCGGACGCUCCGUGCUUCCCGGUGCUUCUUUCGUGUUCCUCGUGAUGAAGUUAUGUACGGAUACAAUGUCGGGUGUGUCGAGUGUAGUAGCAGCGUAGGUGCUAGGAUCGUAUAGAUCGUAUCUCGUUCGUCAAGCGUUACGAGCCUGUUGCUCGCGUCUCGUUGCUGUCUCGUGCUCGUGUAACGUUACUCGACUCGAUUCUCCGCUUGCCUCGCAAUCUUCGUUGCUCCUGAUCAGCCGCGAUCGUAUCACGUUUUGUUGAAGCUCAUGUGUGACAUGUUAUCCGCGUAGUAUCGUGAAUGCCGACUAAAAUAUCGAGCCGUUCGAUCGAAGCUCGUUGCGUUAGCGACGGCGUCAACCCCUGGGUCGAUCGCAUUUUUCAAUCCGCGGCUGUUUGUUUUCGGUCUCAAUUCGUAUGUUUAUCAGUGUGUGAGAACGUGAAUAUAAUAAUCGUCCGGUCACGCGCGUGUUACGUGUUGUGUGUCAGCAACGGCCGCGACCAACCGGUUGAAUGGUUAGUUAGAUUAGGUUAUGUUACGACGCGCGCGAUUCUCUGGCGUUUGAGAUUCGUCGUUUGCCGGGACGGUAACUUCCCCGACGGUGUCGUGGUGCGGUAUCGGAAGUGGUGAACAAUGUAUCGUGUGGUCGUCGUUAAUGUGCAAUUCUUCAAGAGCGACAAAAAGAGACAUCGUCAGCGAAGGACGGCCUUCGUGGAGCAAUUCGGUCGAUGUUGAAAACUCUGCUGCUGCACAUCAUGUGUCGGUCGACGUUGAAUACUCCGCUGCUGCGCAUGUCGGUGAGUGAUAAUUAUAUUUUAAUCUAGUAAUGAAUCUCUUGAAUAUAUAUUGAUAGAAGAGAUCCAUUGCUUUAGAUAUUGAUAAAGAUCCAUUGCUAAAGAUCCAUUUAAAAUGA